UGGAAGGACUGAACCAGGUGUUGCUACAGGGUUGGAAGGACUGAACCAGGUGUUGCUACAGGGUUGGAAGGACUGAACCAGGUGUUGCUACAGGGUUGGAAGGACUGAACCAGGUGUUGCUACAGGGUUGGAAGGACUGAACCAGGUGUUGCUACAGGGUUGGAAGGACUGAACCAGGUGUUGCUACAGGGUUGGAAGGACUGAACCAGGUGUUGCUACAGGGUUGGAAGGACUGAACCAGGUGUUGCUACAGGGUUGGAAGGACUGAACCAGGUGUUGCUACAGGGUUGGAAGGACUGAACCAGGUGUUGCUACAGGGUUGGAAGGACUGAACCAGGUGUUGCUACAGGGUUGGAAGGACUGAACCAGGUGUUGCUACAGGGUUGGAAGGACUGAACCAGGUGUUGCUACAGGGUUGGAAGGACUGAACCAGGUGUUGCUACAGGGUUGGAAGGACUGAACCAGGUGUUGCUACAGGGUUGGAAGGACUGAACCAGGUGUUGCUACAGGGUUGGAAGGACUGAACCAGGUGUUGCUACAGGGUUGGAAGGACUGAACCAGGUGUUGCUACAGGGUUGGAAGGACUGAACCAGGUGUUGCUACAGGGUUGGAAGGAAAGCCUGCACAUCCCGUAGCUGGCAGGAGUUGAGAACCCUGGUCAAAUGUAUGAAGCAGACCGCGUGCAUGAAGCAGACCGCGUGUAUGAAGCAGACCGCGUGUAUGAAGCAGACCGCGUGUAUGAAGCAGACCGCGUGUAUGAAGCAGACCGCGUGUAUGAAGCAGACCGCGUGUAUGAAGCAGACCGCGUGUAUGAAGCAGACCGCGUGCAUGAAGCAGACCGCGUGUAUGAAGCAGACCGCGUGCAUGAAGCAGACCGCGUGUAUG